UUUGUGUAUGAACACAAAGUCGAACGAGAAUAGUGGUGAAAAAUGAGAAAAGGAAAAGAAAGACAAGGCCAACAAGAGCCAAAGCGUCAUUUUGUUAUUUUUUGUUGAAGUGUUUGGUCGCGUCGUGUCUCGUGUCGUUGUUUGUAUAAUGUUAGUUUAUUAAUUAUAAACAAUUUUAUUAAAUUAUAAACAAUAUGGAAAACAAAAAAAGAUGUAAUCUCUAAUGAUGAAGAAAAAUCUAGAAGGUGAAACAUGCGAUUGGGUAUCUAAAAAAACACCAACAACAGCAGCAGCAUCAAAUGAAAAAAAAUG